rnacentral:lncRNA from 1 species
UGCUGAAGUCAGUAUUGUAAUGGUGAAUCGAGAUUUUUAAUGAAGUGGGUUUGAAUACUCUUGACUGUUUUGUGAAAUCGAGUUGCGUCUGUGAUUGAAGGAUUAAAAGGGCGUCUAUAGGAUUGAGUAUGCGGAGUGAAUGAAAUUUAUUGGGUUAAUCUAACAAGACAGUCAGUGGAUAUAAGAUCGUAAGUACAAAGCGGUAUUGAAGAUUAACAGUUUGGGUUGUUCG